AAAUUGAAGAGUUUGAUCAUGGCUCAGAUUGAACGCUGGCGGCAGGCCUAACACAUGCAAGUCGAGCGGUAGCACAGAGAGCUUGCUCUCGGGUGACGAGCGGCGGACGGGUGAGUAAUGUCUGGGAAACUGCCUGAUGGAGGGGGAUAACUACUGGAAACGGUAGCUAAUACCGCAUAACGUCGCAAGACCAAAGUGGGGGACCUUCGGGCCUCAUGCCAUCAGAUGUGCCCAGAUGGGAUUAGCUGGUAGGUGGGGUAACGGCUCACCUAGGCGACGAUCCCUAGCUGGUCUGAGAGGAUGACCAGCCACACUGGAACUGAGACACGGUCCAGACUCCUACGGGAGGCAGCAGUGGGGAAUAUUGCACAAUGGGCGCAAGCCUGAUGCAGCCAUGCCGCGUGUGUGAAGAAGGCCUUCGGGUUGUAAAGCACUUUCAGCGGGGAGGAAGGCGAUAAGGUUAAUAACCUUGUCGAUUGACGUUACCCGCAGAAGAAGCACCGGCUAACUCCGUGCCAGCAGCCGCGGUAAUACGGAGGGUGCAAGCGUUAAUCGGAAUUACUGGGCGUAAAGCGCACGCAGGCGGUCUGUCAAGUCGGAUGUGAAAUCCCCGGGCUCAACCUGGGAACUGCAUUCGAAACUGGCAGGCUAGAGUCUUGUAGAGGGGGUAGAAUUCCAGGUGUAGCGGUGAAAUGCGUAGAGAUCUGGAGGAAUACCGGUGGCGAAGGCGGCCCCUGGACAAAGACUGACGCUCAGGUGCGAAAGCGUGGGGAGCAAACAGGAUUAGAUACCCUGGUAGUCCACGCUGUAAACGAUGUCGAUUUGGAGGUUGUGCCCUUGAGGCGUGGCUUCCGGAGCUAACGCGUUAAAUCGACCGCCUGGGAGUACGGCCGCAAGGUUAAAACUCAAAUGAAUUGACGGGGGCCCGCACAAGCGGUGGAGCAUGUGGUUUAAUUCGAUGCAACGCGAAGAACCUUACCUGGUCUUGACAUCCACAGAACUUUCCAGAGAUGGAUUGGUGCCUUCGGGAACUGUGAGACAGGUGCUGCAUGGCUGUCGUCAGCUCGUGUUGUGAAAUGUUGGGUUAAGUCCCGCAACGAGCGCAACCCUUAUCCUUUGUUGCCAGCGGUUAGGCCGGGAACUCAAAGGAGACUGCCAGUGAUAAACUGGAGGAAGGUGGGGAUGACGUCAAGUCAUCAUGGCCCUUACGACCAGGGCUACACACGUGCUACAAUGGCAUAUACAAAGAGAAGCGACCUCGCGAGAGCAAGCGGACCUCAUAAAGUAUGUCGUAGUCCGGAUUGGAGUCUGCAACUCGACUCCAUGAAGUCGGAAUCGCUAGUAAUCGUAGAUCAGAAUGCUACGGUGAAUACGUUCCCGGGCCUUGUACACACCGCCCGUCACACCAUGGGAGUGGGUUGCAAAAGAAGUAGGUAGCUUAACCUUCGGGAGGGCGCUUACCACUUUGUGAUUCAUGACUGGGGUGAAGUCGUAACAAGGUAACCGUAGGGGAACCUGCGGUUGGAUCACCUCCUUA
rnacentral:rRNA from 1 species